rnacentral:rRNA from 1 species
GACGAACGCUGGCGGCGCGCCUAACACAUGCAAGUCGAACGAGCGAGAGAGAGCUUGCUUUCUUGAGCGAGUGGCGAACGGGUGAGUAACGCGUGAGGAACCUGCCUCAAAGAGGGGGACAACAGUUGGAAACGACUGCUAAUACCGCAUAAGCCCACGGUGCCGCAUGGCACAGAGGGAAAAGGAGCAAUCCGCUUUGAGAUGGCCUCGCGUCCGAUUAGCUAGUUGGUGAGGUAACGGCCCACCAAGGCGACGAUCGGUAGCCGGACUGAGAGGUUGAACGGCCACAUUGGGACUGAGACACGGCCCAGACUCCUACGGGAGGCAGUGGGGAAUAUUGCACAAUGGGGGAAACCCUGAUGCAGCGACGCCGCGUGGAGGAAGAAGGUCUUCGGAUUGUAAACUCCUGUUGUUGGGGAAGAUAAUGACGGUACCCAACAAGGAAGUGACGGCUAACUACGUG